rnacentral:rRNA from 1 species
AUUGAACGCUGGCGGUAUGCCUAACACAUGCAAGUCGUACGAGAGUUUUUAACUCUAGUGGCGGACGGGUGAGUAACACGUGAGAAUUUGCCUUUAGGAGGGGGACAACAAUUGGAAACGAAUGCUAAUACCCCAUAUGCUUUCGAGUGAAAUGGAUUUUAUCCGCCUAGAGAGAAGCUCGCGGCUGAUUAGCUUGUUGGUAAGGUAAGAGCUUACCAAGGCGACGAUCAGUAUCUGGUUUGAGAGGACGAUCAGACACACUGGAACUGAGACACGGUCCAGACUCCUACGGGAGGCAGCAGUGGGGAAUUUUCCGCAAUGGGCGAAAGCCUGACGGAGCAAUACCGCGUGAGGGAAGACUGCCUAUGGGUUGUAAACCUCUUUUUUCAGGGAGGAAUAAAUGACGUGUACCUGAAGAAUAAGCAUCGGCUAACUCCGUG